AUUGAACGCUGGCGGCAGGCUUAACACAUGCAAGUCGAGCGGAGAUGAGGUGCUUGCACCUUAUCUUAGCGGCGGACGGGUGAGUAAUGCUUAGGAAUCUGCCUAGUAGUGGGGGACAACAUUCCGAAAGGAAUGCUAAUACCGCAUACGCCCUACGGGGGAAAGCAGGGGAUCUUCGGACCUUGCGCUAAUAGAUGAGCAUAAGUCGGAUUAGCUAGUGGGUGGGGUAAAGGCCUACCAAGGCGACGAUCUGUAGCGGGUCUGAGCGGAUGCUCCGACACAAUGGCACUGAGACACGGCCCAGACUCCUGGAGGAGACAGCAGUGGAGAAUAUUGGACAAUGGGCGGAAGCCUGAUCCAGCCAGGCAGCGUGUGUGAAGAAGGCCUUUUGGUUGUAAAGCACUGUAAGCGAGGAGGAGGCUACCUGGAUUAAUACUCUAGGAUAGUGGACGUUACUCGCAGAAUAAGCACCGGCUAACUCUGUGCCAGCAGCCGCAGUAAAAC
rnacentral:rRNA from 1 species